rnacentral:sRNA from 1 species
CCGCUGGGCGAACCCUGCUCCGCGCGAGAAUUUUUUUGAUGCCUUCUUAUUUGGAGAAAUCUCCAGCUGCUCUGAUGAUAGCCUAAGAAGACUGCAUGCUGCUUCCUCUCGAUGCCAAGCCAGGCCCUCUCACAACUUCGGAUCUCAGUCCUUCAUGGAGACCUGGUCCCAGCAGGAAUGGCAGUGCAGGAAAUUGGCGCCCAGAUGGUUCUUCCAUGUGAAGUUGUCUCGGGCUCUGGGCUGACAAGAGAACACCUGGUAACCAGGUUAGCCCUCUGUCAGCCACCCAGGGCAGGGCAGCAUGGUACGGAUUCAGAGGAGGAAGCUUUUGGCAUCUUGCCUGUGCGUCACAGCUACCGUCUUUCUGCUUGUCACACUCCAGGUGAAACUGAGGUUUAGUGAAUGGACGUGUCAGGCAGAAACAAAGUCAUUGAGAUACAAGGUCAUGGUUGAGCUGGGGAAGUUUGAAAGGAAGGAGUUGAAAAGUUCCAGUUUGCAAGAUAGACAUACAAAAAUGGAGGAAGCACCUACACAUCUUAAUUCAUUUCUUAAGAAAGAAGGAUUGACCUUC